GACGGAAGGUGCAAGCGUUGCUCGGAAUCACUGGGCGUAAAGGGUGCGUAGGCGGCUUGGUAAGUUGGGUGUGAAAGCCCCGGGCUCAGCCCGGGAAGGGCACUCGAAACUGCCGAGCUGGAGUGCCGGAGGGGAGAGUGGAAUUCCUGGUGUAGCGGUGAAAUGCGUAGAUAUCGAGAGGAACACCUGCGGCGAAGGCGGGUUGCUGGGCUGACACUGACGCUGAGGCGCGAAAGCCAGGGGAGCGAACGGG
rnacentral:rRNA from 1 species